AACGAACGCUGGCGGCAGGCCUUAUACAUGCAAGUCGAACGAGAUUGUUACUUCGGUAACAUGAGAGUGGCGCACGGGUGAGUAACGCGUAGAGAUCUACCAAGCAGUGGGGGACAACUAUUGGAAACGAUAGCUAAAACCGCAUACGCCCUUAGGGGGAAAGAGGGGGACGCUUCGGCACCUUUCGCGAUUGGAUAAGCCUAAGUGAGAUUAGCUAGUUGGUGGGGUAAAGGCUCACCAAGGCGACGAUCUCUAGCUGGUUUGAGAGGAUGAUCAGCCACACUGGAACUGAGACACGGUCCAG
rnacentral:rRNA from 1 species